rnacentral:rRNA from 1 species
UACGUAGGGUCCGAGCGUUGUCCGGAAUCAUUGGGCGUAAAGAGCGUGUAGGCGGCCAGAAAAGUCCGCUGUGAAAACUCGAGGCUCAACCUCGAGACGUCGGCGGAAACCCUCUGGCUAGAGUCCGGAAGAGGAGAGUGGAAUUCCUGGUGUAGCGGUGAAAUGCGCAGAUAUCAGGAAGAACACCCGUGGCUAAGGCGGCUCUCUAGUACGGUACUGACGCUGAGACGCGAAAGCGUGGGGAGCAAACAGG